GACGAACGCUGGCGGCGUGCCUAAUACAUGCAAGUAGAACGCACAGUUUAUACCGUAGCUUGCUACACCAUAGACUGUGAGUUGCGAACGGGUGAGUAACGCGUAGGUAACCUGCCUGGUAGCGGGGGAUAACUAUUGGAAACGAUAGCUAAUACCGCAUAAUAUUAAUUAUUGCAUGAUAAUUAAUUGAAAGGUGCAAUUGCACCACUACCAGAUGGACCUGCGUUGUAUUAGCUAGUAGGUGAGGUAACGGCGCACCUAGGCGACGAUACAUAGCCGACCUGAGAGGGUGAUCGGCCCCACUGGGACUGAGACACGGCCCAGACUCCUACGGGAGGCAGCAGUAGGGAAUCUUCGGCAAUGGACGAAAGUCUGACCGAGCAACGCCGCGUGAGUGAAGAAGGUUUUCGGAUCGUAAAGCUCUGUUGUAAGAGAAGAACGGGUGUGAGAGUGGAAAGUUCACACUGUGACGGUAUCUUACCAGAAAGGGACGGCUAACUACGUG
rnacentral:rRNA from 1 species